rnacentral:rRNA from 1 species
GACGAACGCUGGCGGCGUGCUUAACACAUGCAAGUCGAACGGAAAGGCCCCCUUGUUGGGUACUCGAGUGGCGAACGGGUGAGUAACACGUGAGUAACCUACCCUUGACUUUGGGAUAACUUCAGGAAACUGGGGCUAAUACCGGAUAGGAGCUCCUGCUGCAUGGUGGGGGUUGGAAAGUUUCGGCGGUUGGGGAUGGACUCGCGGCUUAUCAGCUAGUUGGGGGGGUAGUGGCUUACCAAGGCUGUGACGGGUAGCCGGCGUGAGAGGGUGACCGGCCCCAGGGGGACGGGGACAGGGCCCAGAGGCCUACGGGAGGGAGCAGUAGGGAAUGUGCCACAAGGGACGGAAGUCUGACGGAGCAACGUCGCGGGAGUGACGAAGGCUCUCGGAUCGGAAAACGGGGUUGGUAGGGAAGAACAAGUGCUAGAGGAACUGGUAGCGCCGUGACGGUAAUUAAUCAGAAAGCCACGGCUAACUACGUG